rnacentral:lncRNA from 1 species
CUUUAGACAAUCCCUAGCUAGAAUCAUCAAAAACCAAAAAAAAAAAAAAAAAAAACGAGAGAAAUAUAAUCUAAUUUCUUUUUGAACUUUGUCAAAUGACAGCUUCAAACUUCACCCAACUGGAGCCAGUUAUAAUCUAAUUUGGAAAUCAUUACAAGUAAGAUAUCUGAUGGUACUACUGCUUCAAAGUCCUUUUCAUCAAACUAGCACGAUAUCACAAAUCCAAUUCAUUUAUGUAUGUAUUAUAAUACAAUGUAAGGCCCACACAGGCAUAGCUUAUAGAAAGAAGACUGAAAUUGACCAAGUUCAACUACUUGUCCACGCACGCACGGCGGGUCCCUAAUAUUUUUCUUAGUUGAGCAUUUCUCCCUAAUAAGUCCAUUUAUUAGGAGCUGCAACAAGUUAGGGGUCUGUUUCAUAUUAAUAAUAAACUAACUGUGUAUCUUUCCUUAAAAAAAAAUUUUACGUACUCAAAUAUUACCGUCUCAUUUCAGAAAAGGGGAGUGUCGCUUCACCGCUUCACGUGUGGCGUAUCGUAGCAACUAGCAACGGCACUAAGCCCACAGCUGUAACUUUGAAACGCUGACUCACCAAUUACAACCAUCCGUACUUCCUACACGAUGCCGCGAACUGCCUAAACUACCCCUGGAAGGCAGCCACGUCGGCAUCGCUGAUUGGUGUCAGCGUGGACAUGAAAAAAACAUACAGCGAAACGACAGCAGAGAAGCCGAUUUUCUUUUUUU